rnacentral:rRNA from 1 species
UACGAAGGGGGGCUAGCGUUGCUCGGAAUCACUGGGCGUAAAGCGCACGUAGGCGGAUUGCUAAGUCAGGGGUGAAAUCCUGGAGCUCAACUCCAGAACUGCCUUUGAUACUGGCGACCUUGAGUCCGGGAGAGGUGAGUGGAACUGCGAGUGUAGAGGUGAAAUUCGUAGAUAUUCGCAAGAACACCAGUGGCGAAGGCGGCUCACUGGCCCGGUACUGACGCUGAGGUGCGAAAGCGUGGGGGAGCAAACA